AGUGAUUGUUGUUAUUUAGAUGCUAUGUUGGCUUAUUGGUUUAAUUAGCUUGUAAGUUGUAACUGUUAUUGCUCUCAUUUCUCAGUUCUUUCUUCUCUUUCUUUUUCUACUAUUUCCUACACUUUUCCAUUAACCAAACACCCCCUACGAAGUUAUAAGUUAGCUUCUGUAACACUUACUGACUCUAUCAUGAUUUCUCCAAGUUCUCAGGUGCUAAGUUGAAUUCGAAGCGAACCAUGUUUCGAUUAUUAUUUUUAUUAAUGUACAUUGUGGAGGGCCCCAUCUGAUAAGACACAGAUGGAGUAUAGAUUUCAGCAUUCACAUGUUGAGUUGCUGGUCAAUUUGAGCCGACAACGUUUCUCACGCUUGAGGCAUUUGUAAUGAAAAUUUUAGGAGGAACAUACUCAAUUGCUGGAAAUGAGACUGAUCAACUAGCCUUGCUCGAUAUCAAGGCCAAAAUAGCUGCCGACUCUCUUGGAGUCAUGACCUCAUGGAAUGGCACCGUCCACUUCUGCCAAUGGUAUGGGAUUACUUGUGGCCGCCGGCACCGAAGGGUCACAAUGCUGGACCUCAGUUCCUUAAAGCUUGUGGGCAUCAUAUCUCCAUACGUUGGUAAUUU